rnacentral:rRNA from 1 species
UACGUAGGGUGCAAGCGUUGUCCGGAAUUAUUGGGCGUAAAGGGCUCGUAGGCGGUCUGUUGCGUCGGGAGUGAAAACUCGGGGCUUAACCCUGAGCCUGCUUCCGAUACGGGCAGACUAGAGGUAUGCAGGGGAGAACGGAAUUCCCGGUGUAGCGGUGAAAUGCGCAGAUAUCGGGAGGAACACCAAUUCGAAGGCAAGCUUGCUGGGACGUAACGUG